rnacentral:rRNA from 1 species
CCCUUAGAUGUUCUGGGCCGCACGUGCGCUACACUGAUGCAUUCAACGAGCUUCUUCCUGGUCCGAGAGGAAUGGGUAACCUUUUGAAAGUGCAUCGUGAUAGGGAUAGACUAUUGCAAUUAUUGGUCUUCAACGAGGAAUUCCUAGUAGACGUAGUUCAUCAGACUGCAUCGAUUACGUCCCUGCCCUUUGUACACACCGCCCGUCGCUCCUACCGAUUGAAUGCUCAGGUGAGCCAUUCGGACUUUCAUCAUGCUGGUUUCCAGUUUUGAUGAAGGAAAGUCUUGCGAACCUUAUCAUUUAGAGGAAGGAGAAGUCGUAACA